ACUUGGGAAAAGCCACGUCUCCGUUCUCUACAAUUCUCCCCCACCCCCUCCUCCGAUGCCUCAUGUCUGGAGCGGGGGCGCGAGGAGCGCUCCGCCAGGGUCGGCCUCAUGCGUCCCUCGGGUGCCUAGGCUUCCGCCUCCCGCAGGUACCAAUGGCCCCUGCCUGUAGCGUCACUUGUUGCCUCAGGCCCCCUCACUGCACACCCGCCCGGCUCCGUGGAGAGUGCGGUUCUGCGGAAGACAGGCCCUGAGGGCGCAGUGCCCGCAUCCUCCCUCAGUCCUCCUCUUUACCCCUCAAGGAGGACCCGCUGGAGGGAGGGAGCCCGGGCCGGCUUCCUGGCCUUGCGUCGCCGGGAGAAAGGACCGGCAGGGCCGAGGCUUCAGGAUCCCGCCAGGGACUGGGCGGGGCGCUCUUGGUUCGGGGAGCGGAGUGGGGACCCGCACACUCUGCGGUCCAGAGGCUGGAGGGGAACGACUGUGACCUGGUGGGGACCCCUGGCUAGAACAAGUUUCCAGGGUGAGGGGUGGCGGUACAAGAAGAGACAGAGGGAAGGUGAAGAAGCAAAUGCAUAAAGAGGGUAAAAAAUUCUCCAGGAGGGACGGGGAUGAGGAUGCGGAAGGAGGGGACAGUGACAGGCCCGCGAAGGAGAAGGGCAAGCGGGACGCGGAGGGCAAGCAGGCCCAGAGGAGUUAACGGAAAGGAGUUAACGAAAAGAAGGAAGAGAAAGCCUCGGACGUGCGCGAACGGGGAAGGGACGGAGAGCCAGGAGAGAGGGAGACCGAACCCCGCCCUCAGGCUCCGGGCCUCCAGCCCUGGGUCCGGGAGCGCGCCGAGCUUCCGGGGGAUCCGCGCGGCGCGGGGGCGGCGGGCGGGGCGAGGCUCUCCGGGUCCCACCUCCAGCCUCUCCGCCCGGCCGGCGUUCUUCUCGGCGACUCCGGGAUGCCGGCGGCGCCCGAUGCUGCCUCCCUCCGGCGUCCUGCGCGGAGCGGACGCAUCCUUCGUCCUCCGAGUGGCCAUGGCCUUUAAACUUCCCAGUCCUCGGCUGGGAGAGGGGUGCGCCAAGUUUUCAGCUGUGAGGUUCCCUUGCUCCUCUACCCCCGCCUCCCCUAAAGGCCUCCAAGGUGUCAAGCCUCUGGACACUGGAUGCGGCAACCCUCCCCCCUCCCCCCUCCAUACACAUGCCCCGGGCGAGGGAGUCGCGAGGCCACCUCCCCAGGCCAUCCCUUUUGUGAAUGACAGCAUCAGCGGAUUUUAAAAAGUAAGUUGCCAAUUGCUUGCUAGAUUGCCCCAGACACUGCACACCUGAAUCAGAUGGAGCCCAGUGUACAGCAGUCAGUGUUCCUUUGCACAAGCCAGCAAUUCCACACCUGGGAUUCUGCUCCAGAGAACUGAAAACAUGUAUCCACACAAAGACAUGUACCUGAAUGUUUACAGCAGCAUUAUUCAUUGUAGCCUGAAUCUGGAAGCAAUCCAAAUGUCCAGCAGCUGUGGGUAAACAAAAUGUAAGGCAUCCAUAUAAUGGAAUAGUCUUCAGCAUUAAAAAGAAAUGAAAUGCUGAUGCGUGUUACGUCAUGAGUGAACUUUAAAAACCUGCUAAAAGCUAGAUGCAAAAGCCACAUAUUGUGGGAUUCCAUUUAUAUAAAAUGUCCAGAAAAGGCAAAUUUAUAGACAGAAAGCAGACCAAUGAUGGUCCUGGCUAAGGAGAUGAACAGGAAUUGACUGCAAAUGGGCAUGAGGGAAAUUUGCCGGGUGAUGAAAAUAUCCUAAGAUUGGAUAAUGAUGGUGGUUGCACAAAUAUAUACAUUUACAAAAAAUCAUUGAACUGUAACCAAAAAAAAAGGCAAAAAGAAAUUUCCUUUCAUGCCUUUAUUCCCAGAGUAUCUGUGACCUGCAGCUGAGCCCCAGUGGGAAAACUUUUUGCAAGGCAAUUUUAGAGAGAAAAAUGUAAAAAAAAAAAAAAAAAAAAAAAAGAGUUCUAGUUCUUAUGGAAAGAUAACCAUAUUUUUAUUCAGCAAUUCUACUUUGGCGACUACUUAGGAGAGUCUUCUAAGUGUUAAAGCAAGUUAAUUCCCCCCUUUCACUCUUCUAAAUGAUUAAUUCCUGGGAACUAGAGUUAGGCAUUCCAGUUCGUGACAUUUUGAACACACCUACACAUAGACACAGUACAAAGUGCACAUUUCAGAGGAGAGUUUUUAUGACUAUGUUAGGAUCUGUCUUAGAAAUCCAUAUCAGGCACUUGGGUGGAGUAUUGUGUGACUACAGUUUCGAUUAAAAAAGGAAAAGAGAAAAAAAGAACCCACUGACAGCUUGAAUUAAAAGAUUCAGUUCAUCCAGGCAGCCCAAAGUUUGGGUGUUUAUCUUAAGUUGCCUCACCUUUCCUUCACCUUGCUCGUCAGAGGAAGCCAGGGUUCAUGGUUGCUCUGGAGCCAGGAUUGCAGUCCCCUCUGCUUCCUGCCUCUUCCAAUCCAGACAGAGAUGAGGCCCAAAUGGGCCUUUUCUUGUCUUUGUCCUUGUCAGCACGAGGCUGAUAAUUUCCUGUUGGUUCCUCCAUCAAAGGUACCAGGCUCUCAUUCCUUUGAUGUGCCUGUCCUCAGACUCUGAAGAUAGCCAGGCCCUGCUGAGUCAGUUCCUUGUUUCCACUUAGAAGCCCCAGGCUCCCCCAGGCCUUCUCAAAGCUUCCUGCUCUGGAGGCAUCCUUUGGUACAUGGUGUAAAAAGUGAGGCAAGAUCUAAACAGGGAGAUCGUUUUAUCACAUUGCAGUGGGCUCCUAUCAUUCUUCCCCCAGGCAGAGGGCGAAGUGGAGAAAGAUGGAACAGGGAUGCCAUUUCUGAGCCAGACAUUGCAGAUGGAGAUUCCCAUAGCAGAGUCUGCAGAGAAAAGUGGGAAGACCACAGCCCUUUGAUCUGGGCUUGAUUUCUUGUUCUGUCACUUACUAGCUGUAUGACUUUGGGCAAAGGCUUUAUCUCCCUGAGAUUCAGUCUCUAAUUCUGUAAACUGGGGCUCCUUGUCUGUGCCUAGAUUGUUGCAGGAAUUAAAUGUACCCACAUACCUAAAGCAAGAGAGCAGAGGCUCAAUAAAUGAAAGUUAUUAAUUACUAUUAUUAAUUAU
rnacentral:lncRNA from 1 species